UCCGGUGGCCCUAGCGAGGGGGAAACACCCGUACCCAUUCCGAACACGGAAGUUAAGCCCCUCAGCGCCGAUGGUACUGCGUGGGUAACUGCGUGGGAGAGUAGGUCGCCGCCGGGG
rnacentral:rRNA from 1 species